UGACCAAAGCAAGUUGGUGGGUUAAUUGCCUAGAAAAGAUUUUUCAUAUGUCUUACUCGCCCGUACCGUAAACCGACACAGGUGGGUGAGUGUAAGUGCACUAAGGCGCGCGAGAGAGACCUCUCUAAGGAACUCGGCACAUUAGCCUCGUAACUUCGGGAAAAGAGGUGCUCACUUCGGUGAGCCACAGUAAAUUGCGUUUAGCGACUGUUUAACAAAAACACAGCACUCUGCUAAGUCGUUAAGACGACGUAUAGGGUGUGACACGUGACCAAUGCGGAAAGAUUAAGGCAUUUUGUUAGCCGCAAGGCGAAGCUCGGUGCCAAAGUCCCCGUGAAUGUCGGCCGUAACUAUAACGGUCCUAAGGUAGCGAAAUUCCUUGUCGGGUAAGUUCCGACCUGCACGAAUCGUGUAACGACUGAACGACUGUCUCGGAGAGGAUCUCGGCGAAACUGUAACUGCGGUGAAGAUGCCGCAUGCCCGCAGUAGGACGGAAAGACCCUAUGCACCUUUACUGUAAGCUGGUAUUGUGUUCUGAUUAAUAAUGCGUAGCGUAGGUGGGAGGCUUUGAAGUGAGUGCUUCGGUGCUCAUGGAGCCGCAAUGUGAAACAUCACUCUUUGCUAAUUAGGAUUCUAACCUCGAUUCCUGUCAACCAGGCGAGGGACAGUGCUUGCGGGUCAGUUUGACUGGGGCGGUUUCCUCCCAAAGAGUAACGGAGGAGCGCGAAGCUUGGCUCAGCACGGUUGGCAACCGUGCGUCGAGCGUAUGGGUAUAAGCCAGGUUAACUGUGAGACCUACAAGUCGAGCAGAUGCGAAAGCAGGCCCAAAUGAUCCGAUGGUUUAAUGUGGAAUUGCCAUCGCUCAACGGACAAAAGGUACGCUAGGGAUAACAGGCUGAUCGGUUCCAAGAGUUCACAUCGACGAACCGGUUUGGCACCUCGAUGUCGGCUCAUCGCAUCCUGGGGCUGGAGAAGGUCCCAAGGGUCCGGCUGUUCGCCGGUUAAAGCGGUACGCGAGCUGGGUUCAGAACGUCGUGAGACAGUUCGGUCCUUAUCCACUGUGGGCGCAAAUCUUGAGGGGUUCAUUCUCUAGUACGAGAGGACCGAGAAUGACGCACUUCUGGUGUGGCAGUUGUUCCAUCAGGGGCAUCGCUGCGUAGCCAUGUGCGGAAGAGAUAAGCGCUGAAAGCAUCUAAGUGCCAAGCUCAUCCCAUGAUAUGGAUUCCCGGACGCAAGUCCCUAAAGACCCCCGGCAGACUACCGGGUUGAUAGGUCAGGCAUGUAAGCGUCGCGAGAUGUUAAGUGGACUGAUACUAAUUGGUCGUGCGGCUUGAUCGC
rnacentral:rRNA from 1 species